rnacentral:rRNA from 1 species
GAUGAACGCUGGCGGCGUGCCUAAUACAUGCAAGUCGAGCGAACAGACGAGGAGCUUGCUCCUCUGACGUUAGCGGCGGACGGGUGAGUAACACGUGGAUAACCUACCUAUAAGACUGGGAUAACUUCGGGAAACCGGAGCUAAUACCGGAUAAUAUAUUGAACCGCAUGGUUCAAUAGUGAAAGACGGUUUUGCUGUCACUUAUAGAUGGAUCCGCGCCGCAUUAGCUAGUUGGUAAGGUAACGGCUUACCAAGGCAGCGAUGCGUAGCCGACCUGAGAGGGUGAUCGGCCACACUGGAACUGAGACACGGUCCAGACGCCUACGGGAGGCAGCAGUAGGGAAUCUUCCGCAAUGGGCGAAAGCCUGACGGAGCAACGCCGCGUGAGUGAUGAAGGUCUUCGGAUCGUAAAACGCUGUUAUUAGGGAAGAACAAAUGUGUAAGUAACUAUGCACGUCUUGACGGUACCAAUCAGAAAGCCACGGCUAACUACGUG